rnacentral:rRNA from 1 species
UACGAAGGGGGCUAGCGUUGUUCGGAAUUACUGGGCGUAAAGCGCGCGCAGGCGGCUUGGUAAGUUGGGGGUGAAAUCCCUGGGCUCAACCCAGGAAUGGCCUUCAAGACUGCUUGGCUGGAGUACGAGAGAGGUGAGUGGAAUUCCCAGUGUAGAGGUGAAAUUCGUAGAUAUUGGGAAGAACACCGGUGGCGAAGGCGGCUCACUGGCUCGUAACUGACGCUCAUGCACGACAGCGUGGGGAUCAAACAGG